rnacentral:rRNA from 1 species
GUCCACGCCCUAAACGAUGUCAACUAGGUGUUGGGGAAGGUGACUUCCUUAGUACCGCAGCUAACGCGUGAAGUUGACCGCCUGGGGAGUACGGCCGCAAGGUUAAAACUCAAAGGAAUUGACGGGGACCCGCACAAGCGGUGGAUGAUGUGGAUUAAUUCGAUGCAACGCGAAAACCUUACCUACCCUUGACAUGCCAGGAACUCUGCUGAGAGGUGGAGGUGCCCGAAAGGGAGCCUGGACACAGGUGCUGCAUGGCUGUCGU